rnacentral:rRNA from 1 species
AACGUAGGUGGCAAGCGUUAUCCGGAUUCAUUGGGCGUAAAGAGCUUGUAGGUGGCGGCGUAAGUUGGACGUGAAAUCGCCCGGCUCAACCGGGCGGGGUCGUUCAAUACUGCGCGGCUGGAGGAGGUCAGAGGGAAGUGGAAUUCCCGGUGUAGUGGUGAUAUGCGUAGAUAUCGGGAGGAACACCUGUGGCGAAGGCGGGCUUUCUGGGCCUUACCUGACG